rnacentral:rRNA from 1 species
AGUGAACGCUGGCGGUAGGCCUAACACAUGCAAGUCGAACGGCAGCACAGUAAGAGCUUGCUCUUACGGGUGGCGAGUGGCGGACGGGUGAGGAAUACAUCGGAUUCUACUUUUUCGUGGGGGAUAACGUAGGGAAACUUACGCUAAUACCGCAUACGACCUACGGGUGAAAGCAGGGGAUCUCCGGACCUUGCGCGAUUGAAUGAGCCGAUGUCGGAUUAGCUAGUUGGCGGGGUAAAGGCCCACCAAGGCGACGAUCCGUAGCUGGUCUGAGAGGAUGAUCAGCCACACUGGAACUGAGACACGGUCCAGACUCCUACGGGAGGCAGCAGUGGGGAAUAUUGGACAAUGGGCGCAAGCCUGAUCCAGCCAUACCGCGUGGGUGAAGAAGGCCUUCGGGUUGUAAAGCCCUUUUGUUGGGAAAGAAAAGCAGCAGGUUAAUACCCCGCUGUUCUGACGGUACCCAAAGAAUAAGCACCGGCUAACUUCGUG